rnacentral:rRNA from 1 species
GACGAACCGUGCGAACGUUGUUCGGAAUCACUGGGCUUAAAGGGCGCGUAGGCGGGUUCGCAAGUCUGUGGUGAAAGCCUCCAGCUUAACUGGAGAAGUGCCAUGGAUACUGCGCAUCUUGAGGAGGGUAGGGGCGUCUGGAACGGUCGGUGGAGCGGUGAAAUGCGUUGAUAUCGACCGGAACUCCGGUGGCGAAGGCGACUUUCUGGCCUGUUCUUGACGCUGAGGCGCGAAAGCUAGGGGAGCAAACGGG